rnacentral:rRNA from 1 species
ACGUAGGUCACAAGCGUUGUCCGGAAUUACUGGGUGUAAAGGGAGCGCAGGUGGGAAGACAAGUUGGAAGUGAAAUCUAUGGGCUCAACCCAUAAACUGCUUUCAAAACUGUUUUUCUUGAGUAGUGCAGAGGUAGGCGGAAUUCCCGGUGUAGCGGUGGAAUGCGUAGAUAUCGGGAGGAACACCAGUGGCGAAGGCGGCCUACUGGGCACCAACUGACGCUGAGGCUCGAAAGUGUGGGUAGCAAACAG